CGAGUAUUUAAGGAGGCAUGUUUGAGUGAAGCAGCACACACUCCACAGUCCUUCCCACCGGAGCUAUACACCUGAGCCUUACCUGAGAUCAUUACCUCAGCCAGCCAUGAAGGUCGCAUUUUUCUUCGCCGGGCUCCUUGUCCUCGUGUUCGUCGCCUCGUCCUUUGGGGCUCCUGAGGUGUCAUCUCACAUGCCUCCUCCUCCUCGGUCUCCAGCCACCCACAUCCUCCCGUGCACAGGCCCAGACCUCACAGACCAGCGCACCGGCCCCGCCCCCACAGUUCAGCCACUGGAAACGCAAAUGUCAACCUUGGCGGUCCUCGUUACCACGGCUAGGGAGGCAGUGAGGGAGUCCUGAGUCUUCCUUUAUCUGCCUGACUCUUACUCUCUUUCUUUGCACCGUCUUUGUGGGGUUUUCUCCUUUUUGUUCUCUAUAAUUGCUUGUUUCGUAGUUUUCUUAUUCUUGUGUUUUUCUUUCAGUCCUUUCUGUUGUUUCGUUUUAUUCUCUGUUCUUUGCCUGUUUGUUAUUUUGUGUCUUGCUCACAUUAGUGUUUCUUCAAGUUUUGUACCUCUUAUUUCUCAUCUAAUAUUCUUUGAUCUCUCCUCUUUUUCCUUCCUCUUACAUUAUGUUCAUGUUUGUUGUUCACACCUGUUGCCUCAUCAUUAUCUCAUCACCUCAUCUGGAUCGUGUCUCAGAUGUGAGCUCUCUCCAAAGUCCGACUUGUUUAAUUGCACACCUGUUGGCUAAUUAUUCCCUUCAUGUGUAAGUCUUCACCUGUCUGUCUCUUUUCGUUACGACACACAUACGAAUGUAAAAAAGUUCAAUAUUGGCUACUUUUCUUUGGCAAAUUUGUGUUAAAUUUCAGUUUAUGAAUAUUAAUUUUCCCUGUUAACUCAAUACUUUGAUGUAACUCAAAAUUGUCCAGGAUUCCCAGAAUAAAAUAAAACUAUGAAAAUGCAA